CCGAGUUUACAACUCCCAAACCCCUGUGAACAUACCAUUAUCGUUGCCUCGGCGGUGCCCGCUUCGGCGGCCCGCCAGAGGACUCAAACCCUUGAAUUUUUAUAUUAUCUUCUGAGUACAUGAUUAAAUCAAUCA
rnacentral:misc_RNA from 1 species